GACGAACGCUGGCGGCGUGCUUAAGACAUGCAAGUCGUACGAGAAAGUCUCUUCGGAGAUGAGUAAAGUGGCGCACGGGUGAGUAACGCGUGGGUAAUCUGCCCUUAGGUUUGGGAUAACCCCGGGAAACCGGAGCUAAUACCGAAUGAGACCACGAUGACUUCGGUCGACGUGGGAAAAGGUGGCCCCUUCUUGAAAGCUAUCGCCAAAGGAUGAGACCGCGUUUGAUUAGCUAGUUGGUGAGGUAAUGGCUCAACAAGGCGACGAUCAAUAGCUGGUCUGAGAGGAUGAUCAGCCACACUGGAACUGAGAUACGGUCCAGACUCCUACGGGAGGCAGCAGUCAGGAAUAUUGGGCAAUGGGCGAAAGCCUGACCCAGCAACGCCGCGUGAAGGAUGAAGGCCUUCGGGUCGUAAACUUCUGUCGAGAGGGAAGAAUGCGUACGGGUGAAUAAUCCGUGCGUUUGACGGUACCUCCAAAGGAAGCACCGGCUAACUCCGUGCCAGCCGCCGCAGUAACAC
rnacentral:rRNA from 1 species